rnacentral:lncRNA from 1 species
CGCUCACCAGGGGCUGGGUGCCCACGGCUGCCGUCGGGAGAUGGGAGCAGUCGCUGCCCAGCUCGUGUUCCCUGGCAGAGUCCGCCGUGGACGCCAGGGCAGGUGGGACCCGCGGAGCCGGCAGGGAGCACUGCGGAAGGGGUCACACGAGGCCCCCACGCCAAAGCCAGGCCGAGGGGGCAGCGAGGAGGGCGGUGCUCUGCUCGAGUCCCUGCAGGGCUCCAGCGUGGCCCUGAUAACAGGACCGGGGACGCAGCGGGCACGCCUGCUUCCUGCUUGUGUGUGGCUGCUUCACGAGGGCACAGUUUGUUACGUGUUACACAUGUGGCUCGAGAGAACGGUCAUGUCCGACCGGAGGGCUUCUCGGGGCACCUGGGACGGGCACUUACAGUGAGACCUGGUGCUGUGGGUGCUGAAAGCUUUGGGGAGGCAAACAGUCAGGGGCCCUGGGGUGGGCCGGGUCCCUGUCCCGCUCUGUCCACUCCCAGGAAGUGCAGGGGGCCUGGGGUGGGCCAGGUCCCUGUCCCGCUCUGUCCACUCCCAGGAAGUGCAGGGGCCCUGGGGUGGGCCGGGUCCCUGAGCCGCUCUGUCCACUCGCAGGAAGUGCAGGGGGCCCUGGGGUGGGCCGGGUCCCUGAGCCGCUCUGUCCACUCCCAGGAAGUGCAGGGGGUCCUGGGGUGGGCCGGGUCCCUGUCCCGCUCUGUCCACUCCCAGGAAGUGCAGGGGGGCCCUGGGGUGGGCCGGGUCCCUGUCCCGCUCUGUCCACUCCCAGGAAGUGCAGGGGGUCCUGGGGUGGGCCGGGUCCCUGAGCCGCUCUGUCCACUCGCAGGAAGUGCAGGGGGUCCUGGGGUGGGCCGGGUCCCUGAGCUGCUCUGUCCACUCGCAGGAAGUGCAGGGGGUCCUGGGGUGGGCCGGGUCCCUGAGCCGCUCUGUCCACUCGCAGGAAGUGCAGGGGGUCCUGGGGUGGGCCAGGUCCCUGUCCCGCUCUGUCCACUCCCAGGAAGUGCAGGGGCCCUGGGGUGGGCCAGGUCCCUGAGCCGCUCUGUCCACUCGCAGGAAGUGCAGGGGCCCUGGGGUGGGCCGGGUCCCUGUCCCGCUCUGUCCACUCCCAGGGAGUGCAGCUGCCUCCUCUUCGAAUGUCGUGGAGCGUUCGAGGAUAGCCCUGCCGCCAUCCCAGGAGCUGGAAGAGUUAGCGGAGGUCAGAGGAGCCAGGAUCGUGGUUGGAACGAGCCCGGGGAAGCCGCACGAAGGCAGCACCUUCUGCGGGAACCCGGAAGCGUCGUGGCGUCAGUGUAG